rnacentral:lncRNA from 1 species
CUUUAUGAUGAUUAAGUAUCUGCCUGUAUAAAAUUCAUUUGUGACUUGAGCAUGGGUAGUAUUGUCAUAGUCUAAUUGUUUGGAGCUGACAAGCAAAAGAUUGAUAAGCUUGUUUUGGAAUCAAUUGGAAGGGACUAACUACAUUUGUUAAUGGUGGGUAGCCAGCACCUUGCUAUGUGCAAAGUGUCAUAAACAGUAUAACAGAAAUUCCAAUUCAAUCCAGGAUGACCUUUUCUCCGCAAGAAAAAGGAAAUGUCAGAGGGCUCGUGGAGAUAAUGGCAAAUGCCUAUUUCAAGACAAGUUUGGAUAGGCUAGCCAAAUAGCAGGUUAGUUUCUUUUUGGUAGAAAAAUGGCAGAUUAGUUGGUCUGUAUUGUUGUAGAGAAAUUGACAGAGCUCUACUUGGUGCUAGUCUUACUUCCCUUGGCCAACCAUGUAAGAAUAACUCUAGGCCAUCAUGAUCAACUUCAGUUCUCCAAAAUCUAAAUUCCAAUGAAAUAGUUCCACUUCAUAAUUAAUACUUCAAUCAUGCACUUAUCACUUCAUUUUUUUUUAUCAUGCACUACAUUAUAUUUUAUAUAUUUUAACAUGAAUAUAAUAUACUUUAAGGAUCUAUUCUUUUAUGGAUAAAUACUUG